rnacentral:rRNA from 1 species
GAUAAUAUGGUUAACUUGCAUCAGCCAUGCCACGUGUGGGAAGAAGGCCUUUAUGGGUUUGUAAAGCACUUUACCCCAGGAAGGAAGGCGUACUGGGUAUUAAUACGUCCUUGGGAUAGUGGACGGUUACCUCGCAGAUAGCACCGGCUAACUCUGUGCCAGCAGCCGCGGUAAUACAGAGGGUGCGAGCGUUAAUCGGAUUUACUGGGCGUAAAGCGUGCGUAGGCGGCUUUUUAAGUCGAAUGUGAAAUCCCCGACCUUAACUUGGGAAUUGCUUUCAAUACUGGAUGGCUAGAGUAUGGGAAAGGAUGGUAGAAUUCCAGGUGUACCGGUGAAAUGCUUAAAGAUCUGGAGAAAUACCGAUGGCAAAGGCAGCCUUCUGGCCUAAUACUGACCCUAAGGUACAAAAGCUUGGGGAGCAAACAGGAUUAAAUCCCCUGGUAGCCCAUGCCGUAAACAAUGUCUACUAGCCUUUGGGGCCUUUGAGGCUUUAGUGGCGCAGCUAACGCGUUAAGUAGACCGCCUGGGGAGUACGGUCGCAAGACUAAAACUCAAAGGAAUUGACGGA